UCCGGUUUGUCACCGGCAGUCACCUUAGAGUGCCCAACUAAAUGCUGGCAACUAAGAUCAAGGGUUGCGCUCGUUGCGGGACUUAACCCAACAUCUCACGACACGAGCUGACGACAACCAUGCACCACCUGUCACUCUGUCCCCGAAGGGAAAGCCCUAUCUCUAGGGUUGUCAGAGGAUGUCAAGACCUGGUAAGGUUCUUCGCGUUGCUUCGAAUUAAACCACAUGCUCCACCGCUUGUGCGGGCCCCCGUCAAUUCCUUUGAGUUUCAGUCUUGCGACCGUACUCCCCAGGCGGGGUGCUUAGUGCGUUAGCGACGGCACCGGGGGGGUCGAUACCCCCGACACCUAGCACCCAUCGUUUACCGCGUGGACUAC
rnacentral:misc_RNA from 1 species